GACGAACGCUGGCGGCGUGCUUAACACAUGCAAGUCGAACGGAGAUUCAGCAAUGGAUCUUAGUGGCGAACGGGUGAGUAACGCGUAGGCAAUCUGCCUUCUAGAUGGGGACAACAUCCCGAAAGGGGUGCUAAUACCGAAUGUUGUAGUUGGUUCGCAUGGACUAGCUACUAAAGGUGGCCUCUGAAUAUGCUACCGCUAGAAGAUGAGCCUGCGUCUGAUUAGCUAGUUGGAGGGGUAACGGCCCACCAAGGCUUCGAUCAGUAGCCGGUCUGAGAGGAUGAGCGGCCACACUGGGACUGAGACACGGCCCAGACUCCUACGGGAGGCAGCAGUGGGGAAUCUUCCGCAAUGGACGAAAGUCUGACGGAGCAACGCCGCGUGAGUGAAGAAGGUUUUCGGAUCGUAAAGCUCUUUCGUUAGGGACGAACGUGCUCUUUGUGAAUAAUGAGGAGUAAUGACGGUACCUAAAUAAGAAGCCACGGCUAACUACGUGCCAGCCGCCGCAGUAA
rnacentral:rRNA from 1 species